rnacentral:rRNA from 1 species
GGUGAACGCUGGCGGCGUGCCUAAGACAUGCAAGUCGAGCGGGCCGCGGGGUUUUACUCCGUGGUCAGCGGCGGACGGGUGAGUAACGCGUGGGUGACCUACCCGGAAGAGGGGGACAACCCGGGGAAACUCGGGCUAAUCCCCCAUGUGGACCCGCCCCUUGGGGUGUGUCCAAAGGGCUUUGCCCGCUUCCGGAUGGGCCCGCGUCCCAUCAGCUAGUUGGUGGGGUAAUGGCCCACCAAGGCGACGACGGGUAGCCGGCCUGAGAGGGUGGCCGGCCACAGGGGCACUGAGACCCGGGCCCCACUCCUACGGGAGGCAGCAGUUAGGAAUCUUCCGCAAUGGGCGCAAGCCUGACGGAGCGACGCCGCUUGGAGGAAGAAGCCCUUCGGGGUGUAAACUCCUGAACCCGGGACGAAACCCCCGACGAGGGGACUGACGGUACCGGGGUAAUAGCGCCGGCCAACUCCGUG